CCUCGUAUAGCACAGUGGCUAGUGCGCCUGCAACCUUAUGGGAAAAGCCAAAAAAUGUUAUGCAGGAGGGGGGGGGGGGUUCGAUUCCCGAUUCGAGGA